CGUAGGUGGCAAGCGUUGUCCGGAUUUAUUGGGUUUAAAGGGUGCGUAGGCGGCCUCAUAAGUCAGUGCUGAAAUAUCCCGGCUUAACCGGGAGGGUGGCAUUGAUACUGCGAGGCUUGAGUGAAGUCGAGGUAGGCGGAAUUGACGGUGUAGCGGUGAAAUGCUUAGAUAUCGUCAAGAACACCGAUAGUGAAGACAGCUUACUAGACUUCAACUGACGCUGAGGCACGAAAGUGUGGGGAUCAAACAGGAUUAGAUACCCUGGUAGUCCACACUGUAAACGUUGAUUACUCGAUGUGUGCGAUACACAGUACGCGUCUUAGCGCAAGCGAUAAGUAAUCCACCUGGGGAGUACGCCGGCAACGGUG
rnacentral:rRNA from 1 species